GUGCCAGCCGCCGCGGUAAUACGGAGGGUGCAAACGUUGCUCGGAAUCAUUGGGCGUAAAGCGCACGUAGGCGGCUCGUUAAGUCGGAUGUGAAAGCCCUCGGCUCAACCGAGGAAGUGCAUACGAAACUGGCGAGCUUGAAUAUGGAAGAGGGUCGCGGAAUUCCCGGUGUAGAGGUGAAAUUCGUAGAUAUCGGGAGGAACACCAGUGGCGAAGGCGGCGACCUGGGCCAAUAUUGACGCUGAGGUGCGAAAGCGUGGGGAGCAAACAGGAUUAGAAACCCUGGUAGUCC
rnacentral:rRNA from 1 species